rnacentral:rRNA from 1 species
GGUUAGUUUUACCCUACUGAUGACCGUCGUCGCAAUGGUAAUUGAGUUCAGUACGAGAGGAACCGCUCAUUCAGAUAAUUGGUUUUUGCGGCUGUCUGACAAGGCAGUGCCGCGAAGCUACCAUCUGCUGGAUAAUGGCUGAACGCCUCUAAGUCAGAAUCCAUGCCAGAAAGCGAUGAUUUUCUCCCACACAUCGUAGUCGGAUACGAAUAGGCCUUUGGCCCUGAAUCCUAGCUGGUCGGUAACGGGGUCCCGGUGGAAGUCCGGGGCUCUAGCUGACGUCUUGCAAUUUCACCAUGCGUGGGGAUAGAUCCUUUGCAUACGACUUAUUUGUGCCACACCGUCGUGUAAGUAGUAGAGUAGUCUUGUUAUUACGAUCUACUGAGCGUAAGCGGUC